UUGAAUCUUCUUAAUAACACUGCCUUUUUUUUUUCUUCAGCAAGUAUGAAUUGGUUUCUGUUGCUUUCAACCUGAAAAAAAAAAAAAAAAAAAAAAAAAAAAAACCUAACCCAACUCAUGUAUAUGCCAAGGCUUAUUUGCUAUCAGGCCUCAAAAGAUUUUAGAAGGUGCAGCCUUAAGUGGGAAUUGGAGAAUAAAAGCUAUUGUAUUUUGCAAAUAUGUUAACAGAACUUUAGAACGAGAGGAACUAGCCCUGUCUCUCUAUGACCACUAACACCCCCAUUCACAGAUGUGGAAGGAGGUACCAAGAGCUUUAAGUAUUGUUUCCAAAAUAGCCUAUUCACCAUUCUUUUGUAUUGUUCUGUGCCUCAACAUUUUCUGCAGAAUGUCGUCCCUUACAUGACUGAGGCUUUCUGUUUGCAAAGAUGUUCCCUGAUGUACUCUGGAGUUGAAGUGUGUAGCAUUUGGAGCUCAAGGGUAGCACAUUUUCUCAGAAAUGAACAAGGAGUUGGAGGCUAAUUUAAAACAUCUUACAACUCCCAUCACCUUGACUGUUCCAGCUGGGAAGUGAAUCGAAGAGAAGCUCUGUUUGGAUGGACACGUGGGGGUGAUCUGGGACAUAGAAACCUGGAAAAGCUGAUGAAAGCUGAUUUUCCCUUGAAGAAGACAUUUGGAAUGAAGCAAUGUGACCUUUAAUCACCCUCAGACCUCUUUUUGUUCUUGUUCCAGG
rnacentral:lncRNA from 1 species